GGGGGAUAUUGCGCAAUGGGGGAAACCCUGACGCAGCAACGCCGCGUGAAGGAAGAAGGUCUUCGGAUUGUAAACUUUUGUCUUAUGGGACGAAACAAAUGACGGUACCAUAGGAGGAAGCCACGGCUAACUACGUGCCAGCAGCCGCGGUAAUACGUAGGUGGCGAGCGUUGUCCGGAAUUACUGGGUGUAAAGGGCGUGUAGGCGGAAAUUUAAGUCAGAUGUGAAAUUCCCGGGCUCAACUCGGGCGCUGCAUUUGAAACUGAGUUUCUUGAGUGAUGGAGAGGAAAGCGGAAUUCCUAGUGUAGCGGUGAAAUGCGUAGAUAUUAGGAGGAACACCAGUGGCGAAGGCGGCUUUCUGGACAUUAACUGACGCUGAGGCGCGAAAGCGUGGGGAGCAAAC
rnacentral:rRNA from 1 species